UAGGGAAUCUUCCGCAAUGGACGCAAGUCUGACGGAGCAACGCCGCGUGAGUGAAGAAGGAUUUCGGUUCGUAAAACUCUGUUGUUAGAGAAGAACAGCGCAUAGAGUAACUGUUAUGCGUGUGACGGUAUCUAACCAGAAAGCCACGGCUAACUACGUGCCAGCAGCCGCGGUAAUACGUAGGUGGCAAGCGUUGUCCGGAUUUAUUGGGCGUAAAGCGAGCGCAGGCGGUCAAUUAAGUCUGAUGUGAAAGCCCCCGGCUCAACCGGGGAGGGUCAUUGGAAACUGGUUGACUUGAGUGCAGAAGAGAAGAGUGGAAUUCCAUGUGUAACGGUGAAAUGCGUAGAUAUAUGGAGGAACACCAGUGGCGAAGGCGACUCUCUGGUCUGUAACUGACGCUGAGGCUCGAAAGCGUGGGGAGCGAACAGG
rnacentral:rRNA from 1 species